AUCGUACUAGCUUAGUGGUUGGAGUAUUAGCCUCCAAUUCUAAGGUAGUGGGUUCGAAUCUCGCUAGUGACA